AGUGACAAGGCCAAACAGGACAAAGAUUUACCCUCCCACCCCCCCUCCCACAGAACUUCCCUAACCCAUAGUUUGAUUAGUGGUUCACAGUAGCAGUCUACAGAGUCAUACGCUGAUGAAAGAGCAAUUACGUUUCUUUCACUACAGAUGUAGGAUCUUCAUUUGAAGAUUAUUUGGAUUAUUUGACAAAUUGACUCAAAUUAAGAUCCUACAUCUGCAGCCUCAUGCGUACGUGCUACAGAUAUUUCCAUGUGGGUAAAUAAUUUUGUUUGCUUUGUAACUGUGAAUUUGUAUUUAGUUUAGAUUACAUUUUUUUAAUUGGUUUGGUUUAUGAAAAACCUGUUUUCUACAUUCAAAUGAUCGAUAGUAAAUCUUUGUUGGCUCUUUCUAACGACAGUAAUUGCCAAUUCAAAACUAUCCUUCAACCACCUUGCAAAUAAUAUAAAGUGACAGUUCCAAAUCUCUGCCCUUGUCUCCCAAACAAUAGUAAUACAAGAGCAAUAACACCUUGCAAUUACAAGGUAUUGUUCUUUACCACGAUUUAACACAACCAUUAAACAUUUUUGUGCUGUGCUUCCAUUUUUAAUUUGCUUCAAGGCUGCAGCUACUGGAAGCUGCUGUUGAAAGUAUUAUCCCCUAAAUCAAGUAUUGACGGAAGGAAAGAAACAACAAAAUAAAAACAACUUGAUAUAUUUAAAGAUUGUGAAAAUCUAUAUCCUUGUUCAAUGAAAAAUAAAGAUACAAUUAAUAGCUUUGCACUCUGGGGAAAAAUGUUUAUGGCCCAACAUACAAUAAUAUACACAAAUGAAUGCCUAACAUAAGAUGAGAUGUCCGAACUAUUCACCAUAUAGAUACAAUUCAUAUCUCUAGUCUUGAUUCAAGACAGAGGUCAUCUAUUACUCACUAGUAACUGAUGGUCACAUUGUAUUUGAAUUUAGUCUGUUUCCUACAAUAGCUGCAGUUCGUAGAUGUAACAAGUUACAGCUCAGACGAUGCAUGAUAACCUUACUUGAAGGUUUAUGGUCUUUCUGCAGUGUUCCUCUGUGAGAACCCUACACUAAGGGGUUUAAAACUUAUUUAAAUUAGAUCUUCACGGAAAACUCUGUGAAUUUAGGUUGGUCUCCAUUGAUUUGUUGAUGUGAAAAAGUGCACAAGCUUUGAUCUAUGAUGCUGCCUAUGGCGCUCUCCUGCAAUGCACGUUUUGCAUGAUUAACUCUUUACGAAUGGUGAGAAAACAUCAUUUCUAACAACACUUUUUUAGGUUUGAGGUUUAGGUGUGGCGAUAAUGUUACACCACCAUGUGUGGAGAAAAGUGUGGCCUUUUCAACUCCAGAUGCAACGACAAAUGAACCAUUAACUGUGAAGGAAACGUUUGUACAUGUCCCAAUCACUCAUUCUCACAAACUGUUAUCAGAGCAGAUCUGUUCAAUCUAUGGAAAGCCCUGAAGUGCUUUCUCCAUCCUAAUAACUAAUAUCAUAUUAAUCUAUAUGUCAUGUUAAUCUAGCUGCACCUUACCCAUCCCCACCAUUAUAUGGAGGUCAAUGUAUGACUACUAAGUUGAAGGAAAUAAAAAUACAUAAUUUUGUUUCUUUAAUGUGUUUCUACUUUGAUAAAUACCAUGUAUUUUGUUCAGCCUCCAGUAUAUUGUAAUGCACAAGAUGCUGUAUGUAGCUGCUUAGAUGUAUAUUCAAAGCUAUGUCAGAAUUGUGUGUUUAGCUAAAGUUUGCAUUGUAUUUAGUUUAUAAUGCAGAAGAAGAUGACAACUGGCACGCUAAAGAGAGUAAAUAUGUUGAAUUAUAUAGUAAUUUAUGAAUCUGGAGUUGAAUGGGUGGAUAGGCAAUUAAGGAGCAUAAUUGUAGCUAGCUUCUGCAUACCAAAAUAGAAAGUGCUUAACUCUUAAUCUAGAUUUUACAAUAUUACAGGACAUACAAGUUCACUGCUACUUGAUUCUGUGCUUGUUGUAGAACAAGUGACUUCCCUAUUCUGCCAAAUUUGACACUCUUACUUAAUGUUUCACAAAUCACACAUUUUUUUUCAGUUUAUCUUUGGGUUGACGCACAUGUGAUUUUUAUACUGUUGAGUUACAAGUCUCUUGCUCUUACCAUUUUAACUCAAAUGUGUUGUAUCCACAGCCAAACUGUCAUCCAAUAAAAUGUACGUGUAUUUCAAAGAA
rnacentral:lncRNA from 1 species